AGUAAAGUCAGCUAAUUAAGCUUUUGGGCCCAUACCCCAGCCACGUUGGUUAAAAUCCUUCCUCUACUA
rnacentral:tRNA from 1 species